GUUCUCCUGGAAACGGGUGGUAAUGCCGGAUGCUCCAGUUGAUCGCAUGGUCUUCUGGGAAAGCUUUCGCGGUAUGGGAUGGGGUCGCGUCCUAUCAGCUUGACGGCGGGGUAACGGCCCACCGUGGCUUCGACGGGUAGCCGGCCUGAGAGGGCGACCGGCCACAUUGGGACUGAGAUACGGCCCAGACUCCUACGGGAGGCAGCAGUGGGGAAUAUUGCACAAUGGGCGCAAGCCUGAUGCAGCGACGCCGCGUGAGGGAUGGAGGCCUUCGGGUUGUAAACCUCUUUUAUCGGGGAGCAAGCGAGAGUGAGUUUACCCGUUGAAUAAGCACCGGCUAACUACGUGCCAGCAGCCGCGGUAAUACGUAGGGUGCAAGCGUUAUCCGGAAUUAUUGGGCGUAAAGGGCUCGUAGGCGGUUCGUCGCGUCCGGUGUGAAAGUCCAUCGCUUAACGGUGGAUCCGCGCCGGGUACGGGCGGGCUUGAGUGCGGUAGGGGAGACUGGAAUUCCCGGUGUAACGGUGGAAUGUGUAGAUAUCGGAAAAGAACACCACAC
rnacentral:rRNA from 1 species